UUGUCUCUUGCUUCAGCAAUGUUUGGACAGAACGG
rfam:Camelus ferus unplaced genomic scaffold scaffold290, whole genome shotgun sequence.